rnacentral:rRNA from 1 species
GACGAACGCUGGCGGCAUGCCUAACACAUGCAAGUCGAACGAGACCUUCGGGUCUAUGGGCGCACGUGUGCUUAACGCGUGGGAACCUGCCCUUGGGUUCGGAAUAACUCCCCUAAAGGGAUGCUAGUACCGGAUAAUGUCUUCGGACCAAAGAUUUAUCGCCUUUGGAUGGGCCCGCGUUGGAUGAUCUAGUUGUUAGGGUAAGAGCCUACCAAGGCGACUAUCCAUAUCUGUUCUGAGAGGAUGUUCAACCACACUGAGACUGAGACACGGCACAGACUCCUACGGGAGGCAGCAGUGGGGAAUAUUGGACCAUGGGCGAAAGCCUGAUCCAGCAAUGCCGCGUGAGUGCUGAAGGCCUUAGGGUUGUAAAGCUCUUUUACCCGGGAUGAUAAUGACAGUACCGGGAGAAUAAGCUCCGGCUAACUACGUG